rnacentral:rRNA from 1 species
CCUACGGGUGGCAGCAGUGAGGAAUAUUGGUCAAUGGGCGAGAGCCUGAACCAGCCAAGUCGCGUGAGGGAGUACUGCCCUAUGGGUUGUAAACCUCUUUUGUCGGGGAGCAAACGCAGGACGUGUCCGGCUGUGAGAGUACCCGACGAAAAAGCAUCGGCUAACUACGUGCCAGCAGCCGCGGUAAUACGGAGGAUGCGAGCGUUAUCCGGAUUUAAUUGGUUUAAAGGGUGCGCAGGCGGAUGUGUAAGUCAGCGGUCAAAUCGUGGGGCUCAACCCCAUCCAGCCGUUGAAACUGGGGAUCUAGAGUGUGCGAGAGGUAUGCGGAAUGCGUGGUGUAGCGGUGAAAUGCAUAGAGAGCACGAAGAACCACGAUUGCGAAGGCAGCAUACCGGUGCACAACUGACGCUCAGGCACGAAAGCGUGGGUAUCGAACAGGAGUAGAUACCCGUGUAGUC